rnacentral:tRNA from 1 species
GCCCCCUUAGUAUCACUAGUACAAAUGACUUCCAAUUAUUUAGCCUUGGCAACCCACCAAGAGGGGACA